rnacentral:tRNA from 1 species
UAGCUCAGUCGGUAGAUCAUGAGACUCUUAAUCUCAGGGUCGAGGGUUCGAGCCCCAC